rnacentral:rRNA from 1 species
GGUCCGACACGCUGACGCUGUUUGAUGGAUAGCUUGGCUUGGGAGGCGAAGAAGGGCGUGGCAAGCUGCGAUAAGCCUCGGGUAGGCGCAAGUAACCUUUGAUCCGAGGAUUCCCGAAUAGGACGUCCUGUUAUGAUACCUUCGGGCAUCAUAGCGUUCCCUACUGGGAUCGCGAACCCUCCGGAAGGAAGCAUCUGAGUAGGAGGUGGAAAAGAAAUCAAUUGAGAUCCCCUUAAUAGCAGCGAGCGAAAAGGGGUUAGCCCAAACUGAAUCCCUUGGGGUAACUCAAGGGAGAUGUGGGGUAUGCUAGAGUCAUAUGUAGACCUGUCAAUUUCGAGUGGAAGUGGCUUGGAAUAGCCUGACGUAGAAGGUGAUAUCCCCGUACAUACGAAUACGAGAGGUUUGCGACUUUAGCUAGAGUACCUGGCCUUGGCAGUGGCUAGGGAAUAUGGGGGAAAGCAGUCUCCAAGGCUAAAUACGUCCCAAGACCGAUAGCGUAAUAGUACCGUGAGGGAAAGCCGAAAAGCACCCCGGAAGGGGAGUGAAAAGCGCUUGAAAUCAAACAGUUACAGACGUGCUUUGUCUGAAAGAGAUGCAGGUAUCUCUUAACUUUCUCCGCAAGGAGGCUGUUGAGGGACCAAUAUGCGUCUCAGGAUGAAGUAUUCCGUCUAGAAACACGGGCCAGGGAGUUUAUUUUCAUGGCGAGUCUAAGGGUUCAAAGCCCGAAGGCGAAGGGAAACCGAGUCUCCACAGCCACCUUGUGUGGUGAGGGAGAGGGUCUGAAAGGGCCUUUAGCUAUGGGGGUAAGACUAGAAACCGGGCGAUCGUGUCCUGAGCAGAACGAAGCUGGGCGAAAGCCGAGUGGAGGUUCGAAAGGGUGCUGACGUGCAACUCGCUCCUAUGACUCGGGACAAGGGGCCAAAAGCCAAUCUAGCCCGGUGAUAGCUAGUUCCCGCCGAAGUAGGCCGUAGUCUAGUCUGGGUCGAUACUGUCCAUGUUGUAGAGCACUGAUGGGUAAGGAAGGGGUCGAAAGAUCCCACUUGCUUUUCAAACUCCGAAUGUAUGGACGUAUAAGAAGCCUGGAAACGGGUUUAUGUGGGGUAAGCCUCAUAACCGAGAGGGGAUUAACCCAGACUGAAGUUAAGGCCCCCAAGUAUUGUGCUAAGUGUCAAACAAAAGGGCGUCUUCGAGCUAAGACAGCAGGAAGGUAGGCUUAGAACCAGCCACCCUAUAUUGAGUGCGUAACAGCUCACCUGCCGAGGUCGAGGGCCCCGAAAAUGGACGGGGCUAAAGCCAAUCGCCGAUACUUCAGGCCACAAGCAUAGCUUGUGUGCGGUAGGCGGGCGUGGAGGUUGGGUAGAAGCAGGGCUUUGAGGUCCUGUGGACCGACCUCUAUUGCAGAUCCUGGCGGUAGUAGCAGCGUAGUCGGGUGAGAAUCCCGAUCGCCAAAUGGACAAGGGUUUCCUGGCAACGCGUCGUCGGCCAGGAGUUAGCCGGUCCUAAGUUCAACCCUAACGGAGUUGUUCGAAUGAGGGAAACUGGUUAAUAUUCCAGUGCCUUAUGUUCUCCGCGUGCGCAAGCACAGAUCCUAAUCUGUUGCUUCACGAUAGGUUGAGCAAGGUUUUCGCCUUGUUUAAUCUUACGAGAUUGUAGGAGUGUCAUAAUGACGAGAAUACAAUCGAGUUGAAAAUAGCCGACCUAUGGUCGGUUCAGCCGAUUCGUGGGGACCUUGAAAGCAGUUUUAGGGGAGGAGUACGUAAGUCCGUACCCAGAACCGACACAGGUGUUCCUAGGUGAGAAGCCUAAGGCGUAUCGGGUAUAUCGUAGGCAAGGGAAUUCGGCAAAUUAGCCGCGUAACUUAGGGAAGUGCGGUGCCUGCAGCUCUGAUGAAUAAUUAGGGCUGCAAGUUGCAAUAACAAAGGGGUCCCGACUGUUUAAUAAAAACACAGGUGACUGCUAACCCGAAAGGGCUUGUAUAGUCACUGAAUCCUGGCCAGGGGUGGUACCUAAAACCUGGGUUCAACUGGGCUAAGGGCCGCUAAACGCCGGGAGUAACUCUGACUCUCUUAAGGUAGCCAAAUGCCUUGUCGGGUAAGUUCCGACGUGCAUGAAUGGAACAACGAGGGCCCCGCUGUCCCUGUCUGCAAUCCGGCGAACCCACAUGAGGUGGACGAACAGUCCAUCGUCCUCCAUCGGGAAGAGAAGACCCUGUGGAGCUUUACUGCAGCUUGUUGUUGUGAUUUGGGAGUUGUCGCAGAGCGUAGCUGGGAGCCAUCGAUGGUGUUCCUCCGGGAACAUCUGAGGCAUCAAUGUAACACCAGCUUUCAACUUCUGUAUCGCUUACCUGGUCUUUCCAGGGACACCGGCAGGUGGGCAGUUUGGCUGGGGCGGCACCCCCUUGAAAAGAUAUCGAGGGGGCUCAAAGGUCAGCUCAAGUGGGUCAGAAAUCCACUGUAGAGGGCAAGGCCAAAAGCUGGCCUGACUGGAUCUCUAACAACACGAGAUUCAGAGGUGAAAGCCGGACCUAGCGAUCCUCCGUGUCCCCACUGUUGGGGGUCGGAGGUGACAGAAAAGUUACCCCAGGGAUAACAGGCUUGUCGCGGGCGAGAGCUCCAAUCGACCCCGCGGAUUGGUACCUCGAUGUCGGCUCUUCCCAUCCUGGUCCUGCAGCAGGGGCCAAGGGUGGGGCUGCUCGCCCAUUAAAGGGGAACGUGAGCUGGGUUUAGACCGUCGUGAGACAGGUCGGCCUCUAUCUGAUGGAGGCGUUGGUUGUCUGAGGGGAAGCCGUCCUUAGUACGAGAGGAACAGGGCGGCGCGGCCUCUGGCGUACCGGUUGUUCGAAAGGGCAUAGC